AUUGAACGCUGGCGGCAGGCUUAACACAUGCAAGUCGAGCGGGGGAAGGUAGCUUGCUACCGGACCUAGCGGCGGACGGGUGAGUAAUGCUUAGGAAUCUGCCUAUUAGUGGGGGACAACAUCUCGAAAGGGAUGCUAAUACCGCAUACGUCCUACGGGAGAAAGCGGGGGAGCUUCGGACCUUGUGCUAAUAGAUGAGCCUAAGUCGGAUUAGCUAGUUGGUGGGGUAAAGGCCUACCAAGGCGACGAUCUGUAGCGGGUCUGAGAGGAUGAUCCGCCACACUGGGACUGAGACACGGCCCAGACUCCUACGGGAGGCAGCAGUGGGGAAUAUUGGACAAUGGGGGGAACCCUGAUCCAGCCAUGCCGCGUGUGUGAAGAAGGCCUUAUGGUUGUAAAGCACUUUAAGCGAGGAGGAGGCUACUCUAGUUAAUACCUAGGGAUAGUGGACGUUACUCGCAGAAUAAGCACCGGCUAACACUGUGCCAGCCGCCGCCGUAA
rnacentral:rRNA from 1 species